AGAGUGAACGCUGGCGGUAGGCCUAACACAUGCAAGUCGAACGGCAGCACAGUGGUAGCAAUACCAUGGGUGGCGAGUGGCGGACGGGUGAGGAAUACAUCGGAAUCUACCUUUUGGUGGGGGAUAACGUAGGGAAACUUACGCUAAUACCGCAUACGCCCUUCGGGGGAAAGCCGGGGACCUUCGGGCCUGGCGCUGAUAGAUGAGCCGAUGUCGGAUUAGCUAGUUGGUGAGGUAAUGGCUCACCAAGGCGCGAUCCAUAGCUGGUCUGAGAGGAUGAUCAGCCACACUGGAACUGAGACACGGUCCAGACCUCCUACGGGGAGCAGCA
rnacentral:rRNA from 1 species